rnacentral:rRNA from 1 species
UACGAAGGGGGCUAGCGUUGCUCGGAAUCACUGGGCGUAAAGCGCACGUAGGCGGACUCUUAAGUCGGUGGUGAAAUCCUGGAGCUCAACUCCAGAACUGCCUUCGAUACUGGGAGUCUUGAGUCCGGGAGAGGUGAGUGGAACUGCGAGUGUAGAGGUGAAAUUCGUAGAUAUUCGCAAGAACACCAGUGGCGAAGGCGGCUCACUGGCCCGGUACUGACGCUGAGGUGCGAAAGCGUGGGGAGCGAACAGG